GUCCAUGGCCAUACCACCCUGCGUGCUCCUGAUCUCAUCUGAUCUUGGGAGCUAAGCAGGGUUAGUACUUGGAUGGGAGGUAUUUUGUCCCUAAUGUGAAAGCUUAGCCU
rnacentral:rRNA from 1 species